CCCGGGCCCCAACACCCCUCACAUACUGUCUGUACAGGAUUCCCCGGAGUGGCAGGUAAAUAUGUUUAUAGUAUUUCUAAUGUACCAAGGUCCUUCCCCCGGCUACCCACCAUAUCGCUCAAACCGAUGGUUGUUCUCCUCUCUGUCUGUCUGGGGCGAUGAAAACUCACACACACGCACACACACACACACACACACACACACACACACAACACACACACACACACACACACACGCAACAUACACACACACACACACACACACGCAACAUUGUGAUUGGUUAGUGUUGUAAUAUACUCAACAGGAAGUGACCAACAGGUACUGGGUUGUGAUUGGUUAGUGUUGUAAUAUACUCAACAGGAAGUGACCAACAGGUACUGGGUUGUGAUUGGUUAGUGUUGUAAUAUACUCAACAGGAAGUGACCAACAGGUACUGGGUUGUGAUUGGUUAGUGUUGUAAUAUACUCAACAGGAAGUGACCAACAGGUACUGGGUUGUGAUUGGUUAGUGUUGUAAUAUACUCAACAGGAAGUUGACUGUACCCGUCUGGCCGGACUAGAUUAAAGGGUGGAAAGAUCUCAUCUAUAGUAAAAGCAUUGCAUGAAUAUAUCAUCGUAUUUUGUAUUUUUCUUUCAUUGUAAAUAAUUGUACAUAUUAGCGGAAUAUUGUUUUAAGGCUAUUUAAAGAGUGGGGAGGAGGAAUUAACCGACAGAUCUGUGAACAUAGCAGCCUAUAGUCUAAUGUAGUCUGUCUAAUAGGUAAUAGCCCCCCACACCACUAGAGGUCUAAUAGGUCUAAUAGGACUAACUACCUCUUCUUUCUUUCGUAAGGUCUAAUUAAAACGAAGACGGUUUAAAUUAAUUGUUGCUCUAAUCUGCCUCCUUUCAACACCACGAGCUGUCCGUUUCUGAUCGAUCGUGUCGACGUAAAUUACUAGAAUCUGGCUUAUCGUGAGAUCAAUAACUCUGAUAAAUACAUUACGGAUCUUCUCAAGCUCUGUCAACUUGGAUGGGGAGCGUCGCUGCACAGCUAUUUUCAGUUCUCUCUCGCAAUGUUCGAUCGGGUUCAUGUCCGGGCUCUGGCUGGGCCACUCAAGGACAUUCAGAAAAUUGUCCCGAAGCCACUCCUGCGUGGUCUUGGCUGUGUGCUGUCAUGACGUUGGCCUGUGGCUAAGGUUUAUGACCCCCCCCCAUAAAUACCUUUCUCCCUUCCCCUCUCUCUCUCUCUCUCUCUCUCUCUCUCUGACCCUACUGAAGGACUCUUGAAUAGCCUUUGUUAAACAUUGAGAGUCUGGGAACAUCAAACAAGUGGGGGGGAAAGGAACCAUAUUUCGGUAAUAGAACCAGUUGGAAAUAUACCAGGUACUUAAUGAAUAUGGAUGUCAGUUCGGUCGUCAUCUGAG
rnacentral:lncRNA from 1 species